UGUCAGCUCAGGGAUUUGAACUUGCAACCUUUCGGUUACUAGUCCAACGCUCUAACCACUAGGCUAUUCUGCCGCCCAGCCGCCCAAAGCCCAGUCUAUUUUAAAAUGACAAACAUAAUUUGAUUCGAUUUUUGAUUUGAUUUGGAGACUACAGCACAUCGAGCCUGUGGACGGACAGACAUGAGGCAUGACAUACGGAACAUCAGGCUCACCCCACGAGAAGCCGUGCAUGAUCAACGACACCCUCAGCGGGGAGAUCUGCUGGCGGUGAUGUACUGUACUCUCUCACUCUGGCAGGGAUGACUGGGGCCUUCAGCAAGUAAGACACAGGGACCAGUGUCCCCAGAACGUUAUGACACAGAGGAGCGUUCCAUGGAUCCCACUCCCAUACUCCCAGCUUCUUGUUUGGUGGUGCCGGUAGUGUGGGAGCUGGACGCGGACAUUGAGCUGACGUCACGUGCAGAGCCCUCUCCCCCUCAGUGUCCAGCUGGGCGUCUGUACGUUCCAUCUGCUGUCCGCGACCGACUGAUCUAUUGGGCCCACACGUCACCCUCCUCUGGUCAUCCUGGGAUAGGUCGGACAGUACGCUGUCUUGAUGAGAGGUACUGGUGGCCCACUUUAGCUAAGGACGUGAGGAUUUACGUUUCCUCCUGCUCAGUGUGCGCCCAAUGCAAGGCUCCUAGACACCUGCACAGAGGUAAAUUACAACCCUUACCCGUUCCACAACAGCCGUGGUCGCACCAGUUGGUGCAUUUUUUAAAACUGAUCUUCCACCUUCACAGGGUAACACCACGACCCUGGUCGGUGUGGAUCGAUUUUCUAAGUCCUGUCGUCUCCUCCCUUUGCCCGGUCUCCCUACGGCCUUACAAACUGCGGAGGUCCUGUUUACACAUGUUUUCCGGCACUAUGGGGUGCCUGAGUAUAUAGUGUCUUAUCGGGGUCCCCAGUUCACAUCAAGGGUCUGGAAGGCGUUCAUGGAACGUCUGGGGUUCUCGGUCAGCCUCCACUAACCUUUAUCCCUUUCAAUGUGUUUUUUUUGGCAUCAAAGUCAGACCGAGGCUCCUGCGGUGGACAAUUGGUUACGGCGCGUGGAGGAAACCUGGGAGGCCGCCCACGUCAACCUUCAGCGCACCAUACUGCGCCAGAAAGUUGGCUCAGACAGUCACCGCAGUGAGGCCCCGGUGUUUGCACCAGGGGACAGGGUCUGGCUCUCGACCUGAAACCUGCCCCUCCGCCUGCCCUGCCGGAAGCUGGGUCUGUGGUUUGUGGCGCCGUUUAAAGUCCCAAGGAGAGUGAACGAGGCUUUUGGUAGCUGGCCCGCUCCAUGAGGCUGAAGUGCGUGAUGUUACUCCGCCCCCUCUGGACAUCGAGGGGUCCCGAUGUACUCCGUUCGAUCCAUCUUGGAUUCGAGAUGUCGGGCGAGGGGCCUUCAGUACCUCGUGGACUGGGAGGGGUGCGGUCCGGAGGAGAGAUGCUGGGUUCCGGUUGAGGAUGUAUUAGAUCCUUCCAUGCUGCAAGAAUUCCACCGUCUCCAUCCGGAUCGCCCUGCAGCUCACCCUCCAGGUUGUCCCCGAGGCCGGUGUCGACAGCUGGAGCCGCGCUUCAGGGCGGGUACUGUCACGACUUCUGCCGAAGUCGAAGCCUUGCCUUGUUCGGGCGGUGCUCGGCGGUUGACGUCACCGGUCCUCUAGCCAUCAUUGAUCCAUUUUUCAUUGGUUUUGUCUUGUCUUCCCACACACCUGGUUUCAAUCCCAUUCAUUACAUGUUGUGUAUUUAACCCUCUGUUUCUGUUUCCCCUCAUGUCUUGUCAGAGAUGGUUCGUUAUUCAGUGUUGUGUUGUUUUUGUAUUGGUGUGCGAAGGGUCUUCGUACCCACUUUGUUUAUUGUUACAUUUAGUGUUUGGAGUAUGUUUUGUUUAUUGUUAUUUAAUAACUCCAUUACACUCAGUUUGAUUCUCCUGCACCUUACUUCCCUACCACCUAAACACACGACUCUGACAUGAAAGCUCUUACAAUAUUCGACGAUGACAUUUCUCUAAAACAGGCUAUAGGCUACAUGUGCACCACCAAGUCAGAACAGUAGGCUAAAUUAUGAAGCGAAAAGGGACCAAAUUAAUAGGGUGAGGCACAUGGGCUACUAACAGCUUACUACACAACAUACACUUAGUAUUAAUGUCUUAGCUACAGUAUACAUAUCUCCCUGGCAUAUUACCUCAUUUAUGCAGCAGCAUACACAUUUUGGAUUCACCUUGUUGUUCUCACUUGAACAGGAAGGUGGCACGGCGGUCCUUCGUGGGCAAAUUUUGUCAUCAAACUUUGUCAUUCUCUGGAUUUAUGGUGCUUUCAAUACAACUGGAAACUCAUGACGUUAGUGAUCUUCAGGUUGGAGCUCUAGAAAGAGGCCUGAGUUCCCGACUUGGAAUUCUGAGCUUGUUGUCAUUGCAGGCAAUCUCAACGCUGUGUGUUACAGGGAAUGGCAAGAGUGUGCAAAGCUGUCAUCAAGGAAAAGGGUGGCUACUGAAGAAUCUCAAAUAUAAAAUAUAUAUUGAUUGUUUAACUUUUUUUGGUUACUACAUGAUUCCAUAUGUGUUAUUUCAUAGUUUUGAUGUUUUCACUAUUAUUCUACAAUGUAGAAAAUAGUAAAAUAAAGAAAAACCCUUGAAUGA